CUUGACCGAACCGAGCCACAGCGGCUCGUCCCGGCCCUGCCCGUAGGUCGCCAGAAGCGCCUCGGCCUC
rnacentral:antisense_RNA from 1 species